rnacentral:rRNA from 1 species
UACGUAGGGGGCAAGCGUUGUCCGGAUUUAUUGGGCGUAAAGAGCGUGUAGGCGGUUUGGUAGGUCCGCUGUGAAAACUCGAGGCUCAACCUCGAGACGCCGGUGGAAACCAUCAGACUAGAGUCCGGAAGAGGAGAGUGGAAUUCCUGGUGUAGCGGUGAAAUGCGCAGAUAUCAGGAAGAACACCCGUGGCGAAGGCGGCUCUCUAGUACGUGACUGACGCUGAGACGCGAAAGCGUGGGGAGCGAGCAGG